rnacentral:rRNA from 1 species
UGCCGCGUGCGGGAAGAAGGCCUUCGGGUUGUAAACCGCUUUUGUCAGGGAAGAAAUCUUCUGGGUUAAUACCUCGGGAGGAUGACGGUACCUGAAGAAUAAGCACCGGCUAACUACGUGCCAGCAGCCGCGGUAAUACGUAGGGUGCAAGCGUUAAUCGGAAUUACUGGGCGUAAAGCGUGCGCAGGCGGUUGUGCAAGACAGGUGUGAAAUCCCCGGGCUUAACCUGGGAACUGCACUUGUGACUGCACGGCUGGAGUACGGCAGAGGGGAUGGAAUUCCGCGUGUAGCAGUGAAAUGCGUAGAUAUGCGGAGGAACACCGAUGGCGAAGGCAAUCCCCUGGGCCUGUACUGACGCUCAUGCACGAAAGCGUGGGGAGCAAAACAGGAUUAGAUACCCUGGUAGUCCACGCCCUAAACGAUGUCAACUGGUUGUUGGGAGGGUUUCUUCUCAGUAACGAAGCUAACGCGUGAAGUUGACCGCCUGGGGAGUACGGCCGCAAGGUUGAAACUCAAAGGAAUUGACGGG